rnacentral:lncRNA from 1 species
CCUGAAAAGAGGCCUAGUCUCUUAUCAAAUCUGCUGGAAAAGCGCAAGGAGCAGUUAAUUGGCAGUACAGCUGUACAGGAAUGCACAAAUUGCUGUGCCUUGAAAGAAAAAAUAAAGCAGCUGGAAGAAGACAACAGAAGAGUAGUUCUUCACUUGGACACCAUAAAUGAGUUGAAGAGCAUGGUGUGUGCGCUGAAAGGGGACUUAGAAGAAAGAAGUGCCCCUUCAAAGCAUCAAAAACCAGCCAUAUUUGCACAUCCACACUCAUCGCAAGACAACCAGGUGGAACCCCUUGAGGAUGAUGUGACCAUUGCUGAUGGCGUUACAGUUAACAAAAUACAGCUUAUGCGAUGCAACCAUCAGAGACCUUCAAAACUUGUGUGUGAUCUGCUUGGGGUGAUGUUCACAAUGGAGGAGCUGUCAACACAAUCCUUAACUGGAUUAAAGGGAGGUGCAUCAGAGAGUGUGAAACCUUCCUUGAAUAAGAAGCAUGUCAAUGCCAUUUUUGAGUACACUUUAAAGAAGUUUCCUUCUUCAAAUAUUAACGAGCUAAGAGUGGCAGCAAGAAAUAAAUUAAACAAUGCAAGCAAGCUGUUCAAGAAAGGAUCUUACCAAAUUCUGGAUGAGGAGUAA